AGGACCUAAAAGUAAUGUAUGAAACUGGAUGAGUAUAUGAAGAUGAGCAGAGUUCAGGUGCUGAGGAACAAAGUGAUAAAUCUUCAGUUCUUAUGGCUGGGAGUUGAUACUGGGAUUUGAAUCCUUGCUCUAUUACUUAUUGGUUUUGAGACCUUGGACAGGCUACUUUCUCUGAGCAUUGGUUUCCUUAUUUUUGAAGAGGAAUCACACUUACUUCUCCAGUUUUGCUCAUGGCCUAAGCCACCAAAGGCUGAUAUAGGUAAAGGAAAUGGAGAUAUCUAGAGAACCACCCCAUGGUGGCAAUUCAAGCAUUAGGUGAAGAUUUGAAACCUUAGAUCAUCUCUAAUCUUUAGAUUCUGGGAUCAGGUAAAACAAUAAUUUUUCUGAGUCUUAGGGCAGCCAGAGUAGACACAGCUUAAGGGACAGAUUCUCAUCGGGAGCUGAAGAGAUGUGCUAGUACAGUAUGGUAUGGGAUGUACAGUAUUAAUGCUAUAUAUUUGUCAGAUUGCAUUCCAAAGCUAAUAUGGUAGAAAUUUGUUGUAAUGUAUAUCUCUACAUUAACUCCCCUUCUUCUCUAUGCCUGGAGAAAGAGUUGAUGUCAUGUGCAAAGUGUUCUUGAGCUAAAUGCAUUGUCCUUAAAAUCAAACGAACUUGCCCUCCACUUCCUCCUUUCCAAGUCUGUUACUCUAUUCCCCAUAUAUACUCCCACAGUUUUAAUCUAAGGAUAAUAAAAAAGAGAACUAAAAUUCAUUAAAGGCUUUUUUGGUGCAGAGCCAAAUCUUAGCAUUCUAUACACUCUAUAUAUUAUUUCAUUCUUACAUUAACUCUGUAAAGACAGUAUUUUUCCAUUUUAAAGGUGGAGAAAAUAAAAUGCAUAGAGUUUAAGUAUUCUCUGUUUUCUUUCUAAUACAUGAAACUUCUUGUCCUUUCCUUUGCCUUUUAUACUUUGUUAAGGUUGUGCCUUUUGCCCACUUCUUUCUUCCCUCUCCAUGUAUUUAUGCAUCUUUCCAGGCCAAUAUAAAAUGUCAUCUUCCCUUUGAAAAUUCUGUAUCCCUUCAGAUUGGAAUGACUCCUCAACCCCCAUCAAACUUAGUUUUUAUUUCGUUUAUAGUACCACUUUCUGCCUUCAUUAUUAUUUACCUACAUGUCUUGUCUUUUAUAAAGUUUGAAUAUCUGAAGAGCAGGAUCUGUAUCCUAAAGACCUCUUGUAUCUAGUACAGAACAAGAUACCUAAACUUAGAUGGGUGGAUAGGUGAGUAAGUAGGAGGAUAGAUGCGUGGAAAAUGUGUAUUUUCUGAU
rnacentral:lncRNA from 1 species